AACGCGAAGAACCUUACCUACCUUUGACAUCCUUGGAAUCUUGCAGAGAUGCAGGAGUGCCUUCGGGAACCAAGAGACAGGUGCUGCAUGGCUGUCGUCAGCUCGUGUCGUGAGAUGUUGGGUUAAGUCCCGUAACGAGCGCAACCCUUAUCCCUAGUUGCUAACAGGUCAAGCUGAGAACUUUAGGGAGACUGCCGGUGACAAACCGGAGGAAGGUGAGGAUGACGUCAAGUCCUCAUGGCCUUUAUAGGUAGGGCCACACACGUGCUACAAUGGAAAGUACAAUGGGUAGCCAACCCGCAAGGGGGAGCCAAUCUCAAAAAACUUUUCGUAGUCCGGAUUGGAGUCUGCAACUCGACUCCAUGAAGUUGGAAUCGCUAGUAAUCGCGAAUCAGAACGUCGCGGUGAAUACGUUCCCGGGCCUUGUACACACCGAUACUC
rnacentral:rRNA from 1 species